rnacentral:lncRNA from 1 species
GGUAGUCGUGAGAUAGCUUCAACGAGAAGUGGGUGAUGCCCUGAACAAACAUUUGCUGUCAGAAGCUAGGCUAGAGAUUUCAUCACAACGUCGUGUUAAUUUAGAAGAUGAGACACGAAGUUCAAAAAAGAAAUUAGGCCAGAGGAGAAGUCAAUUGCAAGAAAUGCAGGAUCAACGCACAGAGACUCUAAGAUGUGCUGAGGAGAUGCCAGACCACAUGCAAAAGUACAAUUUAAAGCAACAUACAAAAUAUCUUGAGUAUUUACAAAGCACAUGAGUAGUGUAGUA